rnacentral:misc_RNA from 1 species
UUUUUUUUCAGAUUUGGUUUGGCUUUGCACACUGACGGUAACUUGGGCUCCAAGUUGGAAAUGUAUCAUUGGAGUAACUGUUGGACUUUUUUAAUAUACAUAAUUUUCACAUUAGCACCGUCCCUGGGGAAUUCGGAUCGAGCAGAUGCAUUUGAUGAAAUGAUUGCAGCGUUCGCCACAGACACGAGACACAUACGAUCUGCAAUUUCUUCGGCAGAGGAAGUAAAACGAGAAACUCAAGAAAGACAGAAUAAUCUGUGUAGAGGGAUGGGACCCAACAACCAUCCUUGCGGACUAACGAGUUUUGAUGUCAGGAAUGUAAGAAGAGGAGACGAUGAAGACAUAGAAGUGGAGACGCUCAAUCGAGGGACACGAUCGUUAGAAGGGAGUAGACCGGACAACCCACCGACCGAAAAGGAAAGAAUGGCCUACAUCGCCAAAUUAGCAAAAAGACGCCAGGACAUGGAUAGGAUAUUAGAGCUCUUGAAUGAAAAGGAAAACAACAUUCGACAAAUAAGGUACUUGUAUCACGCAUGUUGCAUUUUUCACAAAUCAGAAGAAAACUCACACCUUUAAUUACAUGUGUGGCUUUUGUUAUGAACUUAAACCCGAUAUUUUGAUAAAUGGAUUCAGGAACUAAUUACACGAAUUCCUCAAUCACAUAUUAUUCAUUUUCUGUUAUGUGUGAGAUACAAACAACAUGGCUAAAAUUUUGAUAGAGGAAGGAAAGAUCAGACACUCUACAUGACCGUGCGCGAACCGUUGCACAUUUGAAUCAGCAACGCAAAAAAUCAUGUACAUGUAUUUGAAGAAGGAAAUAAAUGUGGGGAAAUAUUUGGCCCAUCAUCUGUGUGCUACCUCAAACAUUAGAUAUAUUUAUGAUAUAUUUAUAGAUAUGUUUCAACUGAGACAUGUUACAAGGAUAUUGCGCACUUUUGCCAGUAAGCGGCUAAAGAUGCAAAGUAUUACAAAUUAAAAAACAUAAUGUAAAUUAUUCUUGUUUCCUAUCUUGUUCAAAUAUAUAAAACAUGACCCUGUAAUGAAUGAAUACUUUACAGAAAACGGACAUGCGCUGUGGAGUUGGGAGGGGCCUGUCGCACGGAAUGGGCAUCAGCCAUUGCGGAUCAGUAUUAUUACCUUAUGGGACCCCAUGGACCCGGCAAGAGAAGGAGGAGGUCGCUAAUUAACGUACUAACGGGGAAAUUAUCGCAUAUAUCCACCUCAAACAAAGGGCAUUGAGUUUCUGAGAAACAAGUGAUGUGUGUCAAACAUCUGUGAUCUCCUCUAUACAGAAGCGGCUUUAAUAAAUAUCAUAUAUGGAACUUUUCCUGUAUAUAAAAUCAUCUUGUUCACGGUUUUUUUCCCUUCAUCUUCCCUAUUCAUGUACAGUAUGCACGGUUUGUGUGUGUUUCUAUAAUAUUGUGUCAUGUUUAUUACAUGAAGUCUCUAAUUUCCUCAUUCUUUUUUUUGAAACUUAUUUAUUGAAUUAAAUCUGAAUCUGAUGUUUGUUUUAAUAAAGUGUUAUAUUUGGCAACGUUG